GACGAACGCUGGCGGCGUGCCUAAUACAUGCAAGUCGAACGCACGAAGUUGAAGAGCUUGCUCUUUAACCAAGUGAGUGGCGGACGGGUGAGUAACACGUGGGUAACCUACCCAUUAGAGGGGGAUAACAUUCGGAAACGGAUGCUAAUACCGCAUAGUUUCAGGAAUCGCAUGAUUCGUGAAGGAAAGGUGGCUUCGGCUACCACUAAUGGAUGGACCCGCGGCGUAUUAGCUAGUUGGUGAGGUAAUGGCUCACCAAGGCAAUGAUACGUAGCCGACCUGAGAGGGUGAUCGGCCACACUGGGACUGAGACACGGCCCAGACUCCUACGGGAGGCAGCAGUAGGGAAUCUUCCGCAAUGGACGAAAGUCUGACGGAGCAACGCCGCGUGAGUGAAGAAGGCUUUCGGAUCGUAAAACUCUGUUGUUAAAGAAGAACAAGGAUGAGAGUAACUGCUCAUCCCCUGACGGUAUUUAACCAGAAAGCCACGGCUAACUACGUGCCAGCAGCCGCGGUAAUACGUAGGUGGCAAGCGUUGUCCGGAUUUAUUGGGCGUAAAGCGAGCGCAGGCGGUUCUUUAAGUCUGAUGUGAAAGCCCCCGGCUCAACCGGGGAGGGUCAUUGGAAACUGGAGAACUUGAGUGCAGAAGAGGAGAGUGGAAUUCCACGUGUAGCGGUGAAAUGCGUAGAUAUGUGGAGGAACACCAGUGGCGAAGGCGACUCUCUGGUCUGCAACUGACGCUGAGGCUCGAAAGCAUGGGUAGCGAACAGG
rnacentral:rRNA from 1 species